UACGUAGGGUGCAAGCGUUGUCCGGAAUUAUUGGGCGUAAAGAGCUCGUAGGCGGUUUGUCGCGUCUGCUGUGAAAUCCCUCGGCUUAACCGGGGAACUGCGUCUGAUACUGGAUGGCUUGAGUUCGGGAGAGGGAUGCGGAAUUCCAGGUGUAGCGGUGAAAUGCGUAGAUAUCUGGAGGAACACCGGUGGCGAAGGCGGCAUCCUGGACCGGACACUGACACUGAGGAGCGAAAGCCAGGGGAGCAAAGCGGG
rnacentral:rRNA from 1 species